rnacentral:rRNA from 1 species
UACGUAGGGGGCUAGCGUUGUCCGGAAUCAUUGGGCGUAAAGCGCGUGUAGGCGGCCCGGUAAGUCCGCUGUGAAAGUCGGGGGCUCAACCCUCGGAUGCCGGUGGAUACUGUCGGGCUUGAGUACGGAAGAGGCGAGUGGAAUUCCUGGUGUAGCGGUGAAAUGCGCAGAUAUCAAGGAGGAACACCAAUUGCGAAGGCAGCUCGCUGGGACGUUACUGACGCUGAGACGCGAAAGCGUGGGGAGCAAACAGG